CCCAUCCGUCUACACCUAAUAGAUGAAGAAAUUCAUCUUCAAACCCAUCGGUCUACACCUAAUAGAUGAAGAAAUUCAUUUUCAAACCCAUCGGUCUACACCUAACAAAUGAAGAACAAGUUUUCUUCAUCUCUCUUCCAUACUAGCCAACUCCACUUCUCUCUUUUCUUCUCCUCUUCAAGAAAUCAAUCCUCUCACUUUCUUCAAGUUUUGGACCUUCACUUGACCUCUAGAAAGAAUCUAAGAGCUUAAGGAUUUUCUGAAGUUAAAGGAAUUUCAGCAGAUCGAGGUACAGACGAAUCUACUGAGGAGCUGAGUAUUACUGAGGAGGGAGAGGCCGAUGUUUAGUAGUCCCUGGGUAGUUUGGUUUCUUCUAUGAUGAUAUAUGUUUCUUAUGUUUCAAUAAUGGAAACCCUCCUGCUUUAAGUUAGUUUUCUUUUGUAAUGACUAAAGGGACUGAGUC